rnacentral:rRNA from 1 species
GACGAACGCUGGCGGCGUGCUUAACACAUGCAAGUCGAACGGAAAGGCCCUGCUUUUGUGGGGUGCUCGAGUGGCGAACGGGUGAGUAACACGUGAGUAACCUGCCCUUGACUUUGGGAUAACUUCAGGAAACUGGGGCUAAUACCGGUUAGGAGCUCCUGCUGCAUGGUGGGGGUUGGAAAGUUUCGGCGGUUGGGGAUGGACUCGCGGCUUAUCAGCUUGUUGGUGGGGUAGUGGCUUACCAAGGCUUUGACGGGUAGCCGGCCUGAGAGGGUGACCGGCCACAUUGGGACUGAGAUACGGCCCAGACUCCUACGGGAGGCAGCAGUGGGGAAUAUUGCACAAUGGGCGGAAGCCUGAUGCAGCAACGCCGCGUGCGGGAUGACGGCCUUCGGGUUGUAAACCGCUUUCGCCUGUGACGAAGCGUGAGUGUCGGUAAUGGGUAAAGAAGCACCGGCUAACUACGUG